rnacentral:rRNA from 1 species
UGGGGAAUAUUGCACAAUGGGCGCAAGCCUGAUGCAGCAACGCCGCGUGAACGAUGAAGGUCUUCGGAUCGUAAAGUUCUGUUGCAGGGGAAGAUAAUGACGGUACCCUGUGAGGAAGCCCCGGCUAACUACGUGCCAGCAGCCGCGGUAAUACGUAGGGGCUAGCGUUAUCCGGAUUUACUGGGCGUAAAGGGUGCGUAGGUGGUCUUUCAAGUCGGUGGUUAAAGGCUACGGCUCAACCGUAGUUAGCCUCCGAAACUGGAAGACUUGAAUGCAGGAGAGGAAAGUGGAAUUCCCAGUGUAGCGGUGAAUUGCGUAGAUAUUGGGAGGAACACCAGUAGCGAAGGCGGCUUUCUGGACUGCAACUGACACUGAGGCACGAAAGCGUGGGUAGCAAACAUG